UUCGGGUUGUAAACCUCUUUUAGUAGGGAAGAAGCGAAAGUGACGGUACCUGCAGAAAAAGCACCGGCUAACUACGUGCCAGCAGCCGCGGUAAUACGUAGGGUGCAAGCGUUGUCCGGAAUUAUUGGGCGUAAAGAGCUCGUAGGCGGUUUGUCGCGUCUGCUGUGAAAUCCCGAGGCUCAACCUCGGGCUUGCAGUGGGUACGGGCAGACUAGAGUGCGGUAGGGGAGAUUGGAAUUCCUGGUGUAGCGGUGGAAUGCGCAGAUAUCAGGAGGAACACCGAUGGCGAAGGCAGAUCUCUGGGCCGUAACUGACGCUGAGGAGCGAAAGCAUGGGGAGCGAACAGGAUUAGAUACCCUGGUAGUCCAUGCCGUAAACGUUGGGCGCUAGAUGUAGGGACCUUUCCACGGUUUCUGUGUCGUAGCUAACGCAUUAAGCGCCC
rnacentral:rRNA from 1 species